AUUUAUGGUGGGUUGUUCGGGGGGCCCUGUGCCCACCGUUUCUUUGUAGCGGCAGUACUAACCCGUUCAACCUGCCACCUUC
rnacentral:antisense_RNA from 1 species